CCUGGUUGAUCCUGCCAGUAGUCAUAUGCUUGUCUCAAAGAUUAAGCCAUGCAUGUGUAAGCACACACUGUGUUAAAAGUGAAGCCGCGAAUGGCUCAUUACAACAGCCACAGUUUAUUAGAACUUACUCUCAUGGAUAACUGUGGUAAUUCUAGAGCUAAUACACGCACAAAAACUUCAACUGAAUUGGUUGAAGUGCUUUUAUUAGAACAAAAACCGAACGGCGUUUGAUGAAUGUUGAACGUCGAAACUGUUUGGUGAAUCUGAAUAACUAUUUCUGAUCGCAUGGUCUAGCACCGGCGACAUCACUUUCAAGUGUCUGCCUUAUCAACCUUCGAUGGUAGUCUAUGCGACUACCAUGGUGAUAACGGGUAACGGAGAAUCAGGGUUCGACUCCGGAGAGGGAGCCUGAGAAACGGCUACCACAUCCAAGGAAGGCAGCAGGCGCGCAAAUUACCCACUCCCAGCUUGGGGAGGUAGUGACGAAAAAUAACGAGACGAUUCUCGUUUGAGAAACGUUAUCGAAAUGAGUACGCUUUACACACGCUAACGAGUAGCAAUUGGAGGGCAAGUCUGGUGCCAGCAGCCGCGGUAAUUCCAGCUCCAAUAGCGUAUAUUAAAGUUGCUGCGGUUAAAACGCUCGUAGUUGAAUUGUGGUCUUAGACAACAGUCCCCCUACAUAGGUGUGGCACGGUUGCUCGAGAUCUUCAUUCGUGGUUGCUGUUGUCAAUGGCACCUUUAGAAAAAAAUGCCGUGCGCUUUAUUGAAAACUUCAGUACAGGAACAAGAGGUUCUUUUUCGGCAGAAUAUUUUCUUCAGAAUGGAUAUUCUGUUAUAUUUCUGUAUCGAUCCAAUAGCUUCACUCCUUAUGCACAAUAUCUUAGUGACGAAAAGAAACUCUUAGAGAGUUUACAUGUAUGGAAAAAGGACAACACAUCAGUUGCUGUGGUUGAUGAUGAAAAAUUGCCUGGAUUUGCUGCUGCCGUUGAAUCACUUCAUAAAGCACAGUAUGAAGGACGGCUAAUUUUAUUAGAGUUUGAAACAGUUACCGACUAUCUUGGAAAAUUAUUGUUUAUUUCGAAAAAGUUGUCCGUUUUAAAAGAGAAACUUGUUAUGUACCUAGCAGCAGCGGUAUCCGAUUAUUACAUUCCUGAAGAUCAAUUGCCCAUACAUAAAAUGAGAUCAUCUCAGAAAACGUUGAACCUAUGUCUAACUCCUGUGCCGAAAUUGUUGAAAAAUUUGGUAGAAAUGAAUCGUAAAGCAUAUAUUGUUU
rnacentral:rRNA from 1 species